CUCAGCGGGCGGAAGCGUAACCGGACGUGAGGGAGCCGUCGUCGGCGUUCCUUCCGGUCGCGAGGGGCUUCCUGGUCGCGCAGCGCAGCAGGCAGCGCUAAAACAAAAUAAUUUCCAUGAUGUUGGGAGAAUAUGAUAAUAUAGAAGCAAUAGAAGAUGAACUCUACUGUGAAGAUUCUUCCAGUGAAACAAGUAUUGAUAGUGAAGUAGAAUUUCAUCUUUACAGUCAAGUCCAUUAUGCACAAGACCUUGAGGAUAUCAAUGGACAAGAAGAAACUAAAGCAACUCUACCUGUACAGAUACAGAAUUCAGUGAGUAAACAUGAUCAGGGAGGCAACUUUAUUGUCAUUUCAGACAGUGAAAAUCAUAUUUCUGAUAGUCCAGAUAUCAUCACCUUAUCUGAUACCCCUGAUGAAGACAGCAUUUACACAAGCAAAUUCCAGAAGCCAACAACAUCAGCAAAAUCUUCCAAUUUUUCUGAGCCCAUCUCAUCAAAACCUCCUAGAGAUCCUUCUCAUGUUACCCAGAAUUCAAAGCAACAGGCUUCUUCAAGAAGGAAGAACAGGGCUAAUCAAAAGUCCAUCUCUUUUCACCGUGAUGGUAUUCACAUGAUCCAUAAGAUCUUAGUAAUAGACGACAGCUCCAAUGAUGAGGAUGCAGAUGAUGUGACGAGUAUACCCUCUGAAAGUGAUAAUUUGGAGAAAUGGAUGCUGUUGGGAGGUGACAAAGAUGACAGAGAUGAUGACAUUCUCUUAAACCUCGAGGGCUGUGGAGCUUCAUCUAGUGAAGGCUUGCCCAGAAAUAUGGAGGCAGUAUCACCUAACAACAAAACCAGGACCACUCAAGAGGGCAAAUUCUUCUUCUGAUCAUUCUCCUUCAAUGUACUGUUAUAACUGUGCUCAGAAAGGCCACUAUGGAUAUGAAUGCACAGAAAGACGGAUGUUUGGAGGAACAUUUCCUACCUUCCCUUUCAUUUACUACUAUGAUAAUGAACAUGAUAUCAAGAGACAUACUCAGAGAGCAAAGAAGAGAGUACAAGAACUUCAGGAAGCUGGCCUUCUGCCAGAGGUUCUUCAACGACCACAAACAGACGAUGACCAGAAAAGGCACAUCCAUAAGAAAAAAAGGAAAAUGUUGAGGGAGUGUGACAAGAGAGGUGAUAAGCAUCAUAAAAAGCUGAAGAAAAAGUGCCAUGCAGACUCAUUCAAACAAAGGAAGCACGGGAAGGAAGCCCAUGGCAACUAUAACAUAGAGGAAGACUUUCCCAGAGGCGGUCAUGUGAAUACUUUCAAAAAGAGCAGAAAAGGCAGCACACACUGCAACUUUGGCCUCUCAAGAAACGGGGACAAAACAGAAAUCUUUCAGUCUUCUCUGGGGUCUGCAAGAAAGCAGAAGAGGAAGAGGAAAGAGAAGCAGAGGAACUACACAAGCAAUAGUCCCACAAGGGAUGAAAGUUUGUUUCUUAUAAAACAAAGGAAAAAGAAAUCAAAAGAUAAAUUUAGUUCCUGAAGUGACAAAACCUGGCUUAUGCAUUGGAAAUUGGGACUUAAGACAGGGCUUUGACACCCCUGCCUCUCCACAUCCAGCAAGAUAGUGGGACAGUAAGUCCCACUAAGUAAAAGCUGGGGAAACCUAAGGAGGGAGUUCCCCUGUGCCAUUCCAUAAAAACAGUAUUUUGGUUUGUGACAAUAAAUGAUUAAUAUAUAUGAGAGUG